GACGAACGCUGGCGGCGUGCUUAACACAUGCAAGUCGAACGGAAAGGCCCUGCUUUUGUGGGGUGCUCGGGUGGCGAACGGGUGAGUAACACGUGAGUAACCUGCCCUUGACUUUGGGAUAACUUCAGGAAACUGGGGCUAAUACCGGAUAGGAGCUCCUGCUGCAUGGUGGGGGUUGGAAAGUUUCGGCGGUUGGGGAUGGACUCGCGGCUUAUCAGCUUGUUGGUGGGGUAGUGGCUUACCAAGGCUUUGACGGGUAGCCGGCCUGAGAGGGUGACCGGCCACAUUGGGACUGAGAUACGGCCCAGACUCCUACGGGAGGCAGCAGUGGGGAAUAUUGCACAAUGGGCGGAAGCCUGAUGCAGCAACGCCGCGUGCGGGAUGACGGCCUUCGGGUUGUAAACCGCUUUCGCCUGUAACGAAGCGUGAGUGACGGUAAUGGGUAAAGAAGCACCGGCUAACUACGUG
rnacentral:rRNA from 1 species